rnacentral:lncRNA from 1 species
GGUUUUUGAAAUUGUGCAUGUUCGAAUUUGAAAAUAUAAUGAUACACAAAUAAGAUUGAAACCUACCUUUGUCAUGAUUUAGAAAUUAAUGUAAAGGGUCUUUCCUUCUCUUUGCCAAUGACAUAGGGGGAGAAAGAGUUGCUAAUGUGCAUAUCUCAAAGAGAAAAUUGCUAGCUUGCGUGUCUUAAAAUGUUGAAAAUUUUUUGCUAGCUUGUAUAUUGUAAACUUGCUAUCGUACUACCAUGAUGAUGAGCAUGUCUUAUCUUCAUGAUUGUAUUUGAAAAACUAUGGCAAAAAUAUGUCCGAAUGAUUGAACUUG